rnacentral:rRNA from 1 species
AUGAAUGAAAAACAUCUCACCAUCUACCGACGGCGACUUGACCUGACCGGCCAGCAGGUCAGUCUCCGUAUACCAACGAAAACUGCCCUGCUCAUUGGAUUGGAUUGGAUAGGAUGGGCACUGGAUGAGCAGCUAGGUCACCGCCGGGCCGGCGGCAUAAGGGCGCUGUGCCGAGGUUCCCGCAUCCGCAUCUGCAAGCCCUGGUUGGUUUUUGUGACAUUUUGCACAUGUAUUUUCUUCUUUUUAUCAGUUCCAUACAUGUGUUUAUUUACAAAGCACAAAGCACAUGUAUUGCUUUAUUUAUAA